ensembl:lncRNA
AAUAUGAAGAGAAGCGGAGGAGGCCGGAAGAGAGAUGUAUUCGUGGUUGAUUAGUUGUGUCUUUGGACAUGACGGGGAACAUCAACGAAGGGAAAGACCAGUGUUUGUGAAUACCUGGUUUAUGGCCUUGAACUAUAGGAACGAUUGGGGUUCGGGGUACUCCGGACAUCUGGUAAGAUACAGUACCUGCUGUAUGGGCUUGAGCUGGAUGACGGUGUUGAUCUUUCCGAAGGGUUCCACGGCCUUCACCACCUCAUCAUGAGCUGUGUGUUGGGGGAUAUUCUUCAGUCUUAACAGAGCGGAGGUCCCUGGUGCUCCCUUCUUCUUAGUCUAGAGAGAGAAAGAGAGCGAGACCAGACUGCUAUUGGUAGUGAGCUGUGUGUUACAGGGGAUAUUCUUUAGUGUUGGUAGAGGGGAUAUGCUUUAGUGUUGGUAGUGGGGAUAUUCUUUAGUGUUGUUAGUGGGGAUAUUCUUUAGUGUUGGUAGUGGGGAUAUUCUUUAGUGUUGGUAGUGGGGAUAUUCUUUAGUGUUGGUAGUGAGCUUGUUGUUAGUGGGGAUAUUCUUUAGUGUUGGUAGUGAGCUGUGUGUUACAGGGGAUAUUCUUUAGUGUUGGUAGAGGGGAUAUUCUUUAGUGUUGUUAGUGGGGAUAUUCUUUAGUGUUGGUAGUGGGGAUAUUCUUUAGUGUUGUUAGUGGGGAUAUUCUUUAGUGUUGUUAGUGGGGAUAUUCUUUAGUGUUGGUAGUGGGGAUAUUCUUUAGUGUUGUUAGUGAGCUGUGUGUUACAGGGGAUAUUCUUUAGUGUUGGUAGUGGGGAUAUUCUUUAGUGUUGGUAGUGGGGAUAUUCUUUAGUGUUGUUAGUGAGCUGUGUGUUAGAGGGGAUAUUCUUUAGUGUUGUUAGAGGGGAUAUUCUUUAGUGUUGGUAGUGAGCUGUGUGUUACAGGGGACAUUCUUUAGUGUUGGUAGAGGGGAUAUUCUUUAGUGUUGGUAGUGAGCUGUGUGUUACAGGGGAUAUUCUUUAGUGUUGUUAGUGGGGAUAUUCUUUAGUGUUGGUAGUGGGGAUAUUCUUUAGUGUUAGUGAAGUGUGUGUCGGGUGGGAUAUUCUUUACUGUU